GGUGGCUCAGUGGUAGAGUGCUUGCCUUGCAUGCAUGAGGCCCUGGGUUCAAGUCCUAAGCACCA
rnacentral:tRNA from 1 species